GAGGGUAUAGCUCAGUGGUAGAGUGUGUGCUUAGCAAUGCAUGAGGUCCUGGGUUCAAUCCCCAGUAGCUCUG
rfam:Camelus ferus unplaced genomic scaffold scaffold607, whole genome shotgun sequence.